UUUAAGAAAAUGUGUGCUAACUUUUGCUCACAUUGCAUAGGCACUGUGGCUGAAAGGAAAACAGACACAUCCCUGCUCAAGUGUCCUCCUCACACCGAGGAACCAAGAGGGAAUGGCUGGCUGCUGUGCUGACUGGGAGGAAGUAUUUUUCAGGACAAAGGCAGAGUCUCUCUCCUCCUGCCUGGAGCAUCGGAGCCUCCCUGAGAGCAUGGGUCAGGGUAGCUCUGUUCCCAGGUCCACCCAUCUGGUCAUGAGGGUUGCUCUCAUCAUCUGUUUGGGAAACUCAGCUUGGAAAACAAAACAAUCAUGCAAGAUUUCUUCAUCCCGUGGCUUUCGAGCCAUCAAGUUGCUCAUAAAUUUGAUGUAAUUUGAGCUUUUCUUGCAGGCAUCACGUGGCAGGGCUCAUAAGAGCUGGCUAGACUCAGCUGGACUCCCAGCUUUUAGACUGUCUUUUGUUUCCUUUGUUGGUGCUUAUAGGUCAUUGAUACAAAUCCUUUAGAAAGGGAAUAAAAACAGACAGAUAAA